UACGUAGGGUGCAAGCGUUGUCCGGAAUUAUUGGGCGUAAAGAGCUCGUAGGCGGUCUGUCGCGUCUGGUGUGAAAACUCAGGGCUUAACCCUGAGCUUGCAUCGGGUACGGGCAGACUAGAGUGCGGUAGGGGAGACUGGAAUUCCUGGUGUAGCGGUGAAAUGCGCAGAUAUCAGGAGGAACACCGGUGGCGAAGGCGGAUCUCUGGGCCUUGCCUGACGCUGAGGCGCGAAAGCUAGGGGAGCGAACAGG
rnacentral:rRNA from 1 species